rnacentral:rRNA from 1 species
GAUGAACGCUGGCGGCGUGCCUAAUACAUGCAAGUCGAGCGAACAGACGAGGAGCUUGCUCCUCUGACGUUAGCGGCGGACGGGUGAGUAACACGUGGAUAACCUACCUAUAAGACUGGGAUAACUUCGGGAAACCGGAGCUAAUACCGGAUAAUAUAUUGAACCGCAUGGUUCAAUAGUGAAAGACGGUUUUGCUGUCACUUAUAGAUGGAUCCGCGCCGCAUUAGCUAGUUGGUAAGGUAACGGCUUACCAAGGCAACGAUGCGUAGCCGACCUGAGAGGGUGAUCGGCCACACUGGAACUGAGACAGGGUCCAGACUCCUACGGGAGGCAGCAGUAGGGAAUCUGCCGCAAUGGGCGAAAGCCUGACGGAGCAACGCCGCGUGAGUGAUGAAGGUCUUCGGAUCGUAAAACUCUGUUAUUGGGGAAGAACAAAUGUGUAAGUAACUAUGCACGUCUUGACGGUACCUAAUCAGAAAGCCACGGCUAACUACGUG